UACAGAGGGUGCGAGCGUUGUUCGGAAUUAUUGGGCGUAAAGCGCUUGUAGGCGGCACGUCAAGUCGCGUGUGAAAUCCCCAGGCUUAACCUGGGAAGUGCGCGCGAAACUGACGAGCUUGAGUGCCGGAGAGGGUCGCGGAAUUCCCGGUGUAGAGGUGAAAUUCGUAGAUAUCGGGAGGAACACCAGUGGCGAAGGCGGCGACCUGGACGGACACUGACGCUGAGACGCGAAAGCGUGGGGAGCAAAACAGGAUUGAGAUACCCCGAGUA
rnacentral:rRNA from 1 species